GAUGAGCGCUAGCGAUAGGCUUAACACAUGCAAGUCGAGGGGCAGCAUGGUCUUAGCUUGCUAAGACUGAUGGCGACCGGCGCACGGGUGCGUAACGCGUAUGCAACUUGCCUCACAGAGGGGGAUAACCCGUCGAAAGACGGACUAAUACCGCGUACACUCCAUCUUGGGCAUCCAAGGUAGAGGAAAUGAAAUUCGCUGUGAGAUAGGCAUGCGUCCCAUUAGCUAGUUGGUGAGGUAACGGCUCACCAAGGCGACGAUGGGUAGGGGAACUGAGAGGUUGAACCCCCACACUGGUACUGAGACACGGACCAGACUACUACGGGAGGCAGCAGUGAGGAAUAUUGGUCAAUGGGCGAGAGCCUGAACCAGCCAAGUCGCGUGAAGGAUGACUGUCUUAUGGAUUGUAAACUUCUUUUAGACGGGAAUAACAAGAGUCACGUGUGACUCCCUGCAUGUACCGUAUGAAUAAGCAUCGGCUAACUCCGUG
rnacentral:rRNA from 1 species